GACGAACGCUGGCGGCGUGCUUAACACAUGCAAGUCGAACGGAAAGGCCCUGCUUUUGUGGGGUGCUCGAGUGGCGAACGGGUGAGUAACACGUGAGUAACCUGCCCUUGACUUUGGGAUAACUUCAGGAAACUGGGGCUAAUACCGGAUAGGAGCUCCUGCUGCAUGGUGGGGGGUGGAAAGUUUCGGCGGUUGGGGAUGGACUCGCGGCUUAUCAGCUUGUUGGGGGGGUAGUGGCUUACCAAGGCUUUGACGGGUAGCCGGCCUGAGAGGGUGACCGGCCACAUUGGGACUGGGAUACGGCCCAGACUCCUACGGGAGGAAGCAGUGGGGAAUAUUGCACAAUGGGCGGAAGCCUGAGGAAGCAACGCCGCGGGCGGGAUGACGGCCUUCGGGUUGUAAACCGCUUUCGCCUGUGACGAAGCGUGAGUGACGGUAAUGGGUAAAGAAGCACCGGCUAACUACGUG
rnacentral:rRNA from 1 species